AGACACAUCAUCAUCAUCACAGAUCACAGAUCACUGUACAUACAGUUGCUGUCUUACUGGUCCCCAUACCCCUCCUCAUCUUCCUCUGGAUAAGUUAGACUAUUGAUGUCGAGAGUGAGAUCUAGGUUGAGAUCUUCAGCACGAUCAAGAGGACAAACUAAGGGUCUUCUACCAGGGAGCAGAAUGACCAGACGGAGUGAUGGAGGUAAUGAUGUGUAAUCCAAGCAAAUAAAUAACUAUUUGAGAAUGAUACUCCCAGCCCGGGACAGUUUGAGGAAACCUAGAAGUGGUUAGCAAAAGGAACACAUUUGAAGAAGUGAAGCCUACACCAGCCUGCAUGCUGGGACCACCAAUCCCCACCAAAGGUCACAAAAUGAACCAGAAACACAGGAAGUUUAACGUUUUUGUAUACAUACUCUUAUGUCCUCUCUUCCCAUCGGUCACUUCCUGUUUCUGUGUUUCAAAAAACCUCAGCUCUGACCAUUCGCUCAGCUCAGACAACACAGAGGGAAGCAAAUGAAGAGCAGGAUGACCGUCACUAUCCACCCAAAUCUCUGGCUAAGAGAACCGAAAGUGCCUCAACGUCCUGUGGGAUCCCCCCGUCCGAUCAGAUCAGAUAGACCAGGUCCUUUACUCUCUGGUCGACUCUCCAAGACCCAACGCUAUCCCUGGGGACACUGACCCGACCUCAGAGGGGUACAGCAUACUUCAUUUCGAUGAUAAGUAAUGUAGUUUGUAACAUCGCAGUGCUACGAAUUGAUCCUGGUCAAAUCUUGAAAUACA